UUUCCUUCAUGUAGAUUGCUGUGUGUGUCUUUUUCUUCAUAAUUCCCCUUAAUUCUGUGUGCUUUGAAUGACACUGUUGUUGUUACUGUUGUUUUAUAUCCAUUGUCACAUAAAACUCUUAUCAUUUAUUCUUCCAGGCCAGGGACUGUCCUUAUGGGUAGAGAUACACUAUCUGCAGGAAUUUAUUUUUUUACGUAUUUUUACUAGUUGAUGGGAAAGACAUUGGGAAAGACCUGGGCUGGAUUUGUGAUGAGCUGUGUUUACUGAGCAUGAUGAAGUAAAGCUCAACGUGAUUACUCUGAAGUCCAGCCUUACUGUCAGUCUAAGGACUCAGGAUACAAAUACUCAAAACAUAAAUUCUUAGACUCUAAAUUUCACAUGGUUUUUCCUAUCAGUACAGGUUAAGGAUAAUGGCGUGUUGUAGGUUUUUCCAGUGCAAUACAAGGAAGUUGGUUCUAGAUCCUUUAGUACAGUUAAUGUUUUGUAGAGUGUGUUCUAUGUUCACUGCAUUGGUAUGUCUCAUCUUUGGCAUGAUCUUGGCUCACCGCAACCUCCGCCUCUUGCAUUCAAGCACUUCUUGUCUCAGCCUCCAGAGUAGCUGGGAUUACAAGCAUGUGCCAACAUGCCCGGCUAAUUUUUGUAUGCUUUUGUGGAGACAGGCUUUGCCAUGUUUGCCAGGUUGGUCUCUAAGUGAUCCACCCGCCUCAGCCCCACAAAGUGCUGGGAUUACAUGCGUGAGCCACCGUACCCAGCCACACCUUUGCUUAUUUCUACUAUGCAUUUCAAGUGAUCAUUUCAAGAGAAUAAGUACUUAGGAGCUCCUAUGCUCUUUUUUUUUUUAACCCUGUUGCUUGCAUCACCCGGUUCCAACCCUAUAUGAAAGUUUCAUGAGCAUGUUUCUGUCACUGAGGCAGCUUCUCCAUUUGGCAUAUAAUUGAGAAAUUGCUAGUUUGUGGCUGAGACAUUGGUUUGAGAGGAGACGUAAUUUAUAUAUUUAGCAGAAUGCUUAAGUUACAUUUCCAGAGAUUAAUUUAAUUCUACUUUUAAUUAAGUUAACCCUUUGCUGUAUCUUUACAAGACGUAGGUGGAGAUUUAAUUUUGACUCUUAGAUUCAGUUAAGGUGAUGAAAUUGGCAUUAUAUAGUUUUUGAUGCUGAGCCCCACGGAGAUUAAAAGAUUUGCUAAACACCAUGCAAUUUUUGAAUCACAUCUCUAAUCUCACAUUAUUCUGUACUCUAUUUUUUGCUUGUAUGAUUGAUGGGUCUUUCAUUAUCUGUGAUUGACAUUCUAUGAGUAGGUGCUUUUGCUUUGCCUAUAAGUCGUUAUUAUGAAGGAGGAAUGGUGAAUAAGAAGGUAAUUUAGAAAAGCCUAUAUUAAAUAUACCAUGAACAUUGAAUAUAGCAAGAUCUUAUUCUCUAGUUGUUAUCUUAGUUGAUAAAUUCUGUAUGUGUUAUGUGUUUGUGUAUACAUAUGUACAUAUUAAUGAUGUGGGUGUUGAUACUGUGAUCACAUGACAAAUGACUGGUUUAUAGUGAAAAGCUGUUGGGGUUCAGAGAAAUGAACAUUCUUCUAAAAGUGAGGUAGAUAAGUUAUUUUAUAGUUCUUGCCUUUGAGUCUCUGUUCUUCUGGUAGAAAUGUUAGUGUAUUUAUAACCUCUCAGAUUUGUUUGGUUCUCUUAGUGUUCUUGAUCCAGGCAGUUAGCGAUAUGUUGGAUGAAUUGAGAAAAAUGAGUUUUUCCUUUCCUACUAACUGAAUUAGAUUAGAAAUAAGCAGUUAAGUGAGAAAAAUAGGGAAUUAGUGCCAGAUAUGUUGAGGUGUAGUGUUGACAGGGGGUCUUUUACCUUCAGAUGUUUGGUGCAACUUAGAGAAUGCAGUGGUAGUUGCUGGCCCAGCCCAUCCAAACAACCUCAUUUGUGGGGUGAUACUUCACAGAUGACUUAAAAUAAAUCCCCUGAAAAUAAGAAUCUCUGGAAGAGAUGACACGUGUAUGUGCGUGUGUGCACGUGUGUGCGUGUGUGCACGUGUGUGUGUGUGUGUGUUUUGGUGGAGUGGUAGGAGGAGGGUUGGCUUAAUGAUGAGAAUCAUUAUUUCUUGAAUUGGAUGACACUUUCCAUUCCUGCAAAGGGAGCGUGAGGUCCAGCCUUGCUAAUUCAUGAUCAAAGUAAUUUGCUGAGAGUAGUGGAAGGAAUGAGUUAGCAGAAGAUGGCAAAUUGCAUUAAUGAGUAGUAGGAGGAAAACAAAUAAGCAAAUUUUAAUGUGGUUGGAACAUGUUCCUGAGUUGUAUGAAGGGAGACAGGUAAAUUGAGAGUAAUGUUAUGAUUGUUUCAUUUGUUGGAAAUAAGGAAAACUUGCAUGGUUUGAAUUGUGGAACAAUAGGUGGUGUAUGUUAGGAGUCAGAAUUAUCAUUUAACAUGUAAGUUUCUGUUUUACUUCAGAUAAAGAAUGUCAGCUACCUUUCCCAUGUUAGCUUCUAUACCUUUUCUUGAGGUGACCAUAAAUAGGUAAUAUUGUCUUUCACUGAGAUUGUUUUAAUUAGCGAAGUGUGCUGAUUAAAUGUCUUUUCUUGAUAAAUUAUUAGAAUGAAUAAAGGAUGGUAUUUCUAGAUAGCCUUGGUUAGUCAGUGAUUUGUUUAAAUUUAGUGUGGAUAAGAAUCACCUGAGGGCUUUUUAAACACAGUUUACUGGGUCCUGACCUUAGUGUUUCUGGCUUAUUAGGUAUAAGUAUGAGAAGUUGAUUUUUAUCAAGUUUCUAGAUGCUACAGAUCUAGGAACCAUACUUAGAGUGCUAUUAUAUGUCUUUUAAUGUACACUGAUAUGGAAAAAGCAAUGAUACAUCAUGUUAUCGCAUAUUUUAAAAUGUGAUCAUGACCAGGGAAUCUUGAAAGUUGUCUUAUGUAAUAAUGUAAAUCAAUGUAGAAUACCAUAUAUUUUUUUCUUGCAAGGUUAUUAUUAAUAGGAAUGACUAUUUGUAGCCAAUGUGUUCAAAUGCAUGGGAGGACGUAAACACUUCAUAAUUUCCUGGAAAUACAGACAUAUAUCACUUAAAAUAAUACAUUUCUAAUAUAAAUUUAAAUUAUCUACGUGAUAUGAGGAAACGAGCUUAUUUUUGAUAAUUUUCCUAGCAGUGAAUCAACUAUACUCAUUUGAAUCUAAAUUAAAUUAAAUUUGAGUAAAUUCAGCCAUUUCUAAAUUCAGUCCAUAUAAAUUCACUUUGGGUAAAAGAAGACAAAAUUCCUGAAAACAGUAGAUUAAAAAAAUAACAUUUUAAGAGCAGGUAUGAUCUCAAUGAAUAUAGUGUGGUAAUUUCUGCCUAAUACCUACCCUUUUGGAGGAAGGAAAGGUAAUCCUGUUUGUGUUUAAUGUUAAUUACUGAAC